rnacentral:snRNA from 1 species
ACAAUGGUUUUGUUCAAGCGC